UGGCAAUUGCAACUUCCUCGUGAGGGGAAGAGGAGGGGCACUGUCACUGUGGUGACAGUGACAGGACCCAAGGGAAUGGCCUGAAGCUGAGCUAGGUUUACAUGAACUGUUCAGCAAAGGGAAGCAAGAGCUGAGCUACAACCAGACCCAGACCAAAGCAGAGCUUCUGAGACUUAGCUAUUCAAGAGACAAUAUCCAAUCCCAGUCAUCACCCUGGGCCAGCUGGAGUGCAGGAAAUCCCAGAAUCUGCCCUUUUACCA